UACGUAGGAUGCAAGCGUUGUCCGGAAUUAUUGGGCGUAAAGAGCGCGCAGGCGGUAUGACAAGUCAGAUGUGAAAGAGGCCGGCUUAACCGGCAAGGGUCAUUUGAAACUGUCAGACUAGAGUGCAGCAGAGGAUAGUGGAAUUCCCGGUGUAGUGGUGAAAUGCGUAGAUAUCGGGAGGAACACCAGUGGCGAAGGCGGCUUCCUGGCCUGUUCUUGACGCUGAGGCGCGAAAGCUAGGGUAGCAAACGGG
rnacentral:rRNA from 1 species